CCCCGGCGGCCCCUACCUGCAGUUCCUCAGCACCUCCAAGAGCAAGGCCAGCUUCUUCCUGUCCCACGACCAGCGCUUCUUCCUGAAGACCCAGGGGCGCCGAGAGGUGCAGGCUCUGCUCGCCCACCUGCCCCGCUACGUGCAGCACCUGCAGCGGCACCCGCACUCGCUGCUGGCGCGGUUGCUGGGAGUGCACAGUCUGCGGGUGGACCGGGGAAAGAAGACGUACUUCAUCGUCAUGCAGAGCGUCUUCUACCCCGCCGGCCGCAUCUCCGAGAGGUAUGACAUCAAAGGCUGCGAGGGUGAAGUUUAGAAGGGUGUCCCUGCUGCCCUCUGCCUGAGUUAUUAAGAGCCCAGAUUCGGCCGGGCGCCGUGGCUCACGCCUGUAAUUCCAGCACUUUGGGAGGCCGAGACAGGUGGAUUACGAGGUCAGGAGUUCAAGACCAGCCUGGCCAAGAUGCUGAAACUCUGUCUCUACGAAAAACACACAAAUUAGCCAGGCGUGGUGGUACCCGCCUAUAAUCCCAGCUACUCAGGAGGCUGAGGCAGGAGAAUCGCUUGAACCCAGGCGGCAGAGGUUGCAGUGAGCCGAGAUGGCGCCACUGCACUCCAGCCUGUGCGACAGAGCA
rnacentral:lncRNA from 1 species